rnacentral:lncRNA from 1 species
GACACAGAAUAGAUAAUAGGACCAGAAGUCUUACUCAAGCGGAAACAUGUCCCAUCUUUUAUACUGCGCAUGCGCGAGCUAAACAAGUGUAAUGCAGUGUUGACAAUAGAAAAUUAUAUUGGGAAGUUGUCAUUUCUACAGUAAAAACAGCUUUUUUUCAAGUAGUACGAAAUGUGACUUCGAUUUAUCUGUGGAACUAUUUGAACAGAAGGUAAAGCAGUAAUUUUGUUGUAUUUAGAAAGCAAACAGGGUCAUAUUUUUAAAAAUAUAGCGCACUGAAUAUAAAUUUGAGCAUCAUUAAAAUGUGUUCGCUAUGAUGCCAUUUUGUCUCCGGUAUAUACUGAGUUCUGCUUUUAUACUUGUGGAUAUUCGAAUUUAUUUGGCUCAAAAACACCAUUACUUCAAUAUCCCUUUCUUGUUUUUCCUUGGAUAGGUUUUAACAAGAUAGAACUCUAGAUCACUUGGAUCCAAAGACGCUAGAUUAUAAAAUCCUGAUGUGACUUGAUACUACAAAUAGAAUAUGUCUUAUGAUUUAAUACUACAAAUAGAAUGUCUUUUAAGUACAAACUUCAAUGAAUUGAUAAAGUGUAAGGAUAGUGUUUAAAGUCGCUUCAUGUGUAGAAGCUGAAUUACUUUAGUUUAUACACUGUAUUGUCGAGAUCACAUGUUGAUAUGACUUACUAGCAACUUGCAAUAAGUGGUCUGUUCUGCUUGUUUAUAAUACUUUAGAGUUUGGACAUUAGAACAUUGUAAUUGCCUGACAGAGACUGUUAGGGCCUGUUUGUAUGGAAGCCGGGCUGGCCCGCUUAGCGAGACAGCCCGGUAAGGUAGAUACGCAGGAUGAUUUCUCUUGUGUUUAUUUGAGAAAAUUUCAUCCUGCUUACCCGGGACAAUUUUGUUGUUUUGACAUUGUUUUGACAGUUGUUAAAAAUAGCUUGCGGCAGUAUCAUUGAACUUUCAUCCUGGCAACUGGGCUAGCCUGCUUGUGAUUGUUUAUAUGGAGAAAUUUCCAUCCUGGUCUCUGCAACAGGGCCUCCCGCUUGUACAUAGAAACAAUUUUAAUUAUAAUUUUUACUAUAAAAAUAAGUAGACAGCGAGAUCUCACUUACCGGGCUGUCUCACUUAGCGGGCCAGCCAGUUUCGAUAUAAACAGGCCCUUACACAACUGCUAAAAGCUGCAAGUUUCUUUAAAGCAACAUCAUCUAUAUCACAGAAUACAGUUUCUGUAGUGACAUACUUCGUGUUUUUUCUGUCUUUAAAGUGUCUUAUGUUUGUAAUAUUUUUGUACAAUACCUUUUUGAAAUUGUUGAUACUGGUCUCAUUGUAACUCAGUUAUUCCUUCUCAAGAAAAAUAAAAAACAAAGCUGUG